rnacentral:rRNA from 1 species
CUACGGGUGGCUCCAGGCGCGAAACCUCUACAAUGCGCGAAAGCGCGAUAGGGGAACUCCGAGUGACACACUACGCGUGUGGCUUUUUGCAAGUCUAGAACGCUUGUAGAAUAAGGGCUGGGUAAGACCAGUGCCAGCCGCCGCGGUAACACCGGCAGCCCAAGUGGUACCCACGAAUAUUGGGCCUAAAGAGUCCGUAGCUGGUCUGUUAAGUCUUCUGUGAAAUCUCCGGGCCUAACUCGGAGGCGUGCAGGGGAUACUGGCAUGACUCGAGAGCGGGGGAGGUCAAGAGUACUUAUGGGGUAGGGGUAAAAUCCUGUAAUCCUAUAAGGACUCCCAGUGGCGAAGGCGCUUGACCAAAACGCGUCUGACAGUGAGGGACGAAGGCUAGGAGAACGAAUCGGAUUAGAUACCCUCGUAGUC